UAACAAGAAGAGAAUACGCACACGGGAGC
rnacentral:piRNA from 1 species